rnacentral:tRNA from 1 species
CAGGGUAUGGCGCAGUUGGUAGCGCGCAGCGUUCGGGACGCUGAGGCCGUCGGUUCAAGUCCGAUUACCCUGACCA